GAAGCCCUUUGUUGAUGAUGAUUUCAUAGUUCAACAGACUGUGCCAGUGACGAUUACUGUUGCAUUUAGUCUUUCGCUCCUAUCUGACUGGCAAA